rnacentral:rRNA from 1 species
UACGGGGGGGGCAAGCGUUGUUCGGAAUUACUGGGCGUAAAGGGCGCGUAGGCGGCAUGGCAAGUCAGGAGUGAAAGGCCUGGGCUCAACCGAGGAACUGCUUUUGAUACUGCCAAGCUAGAGUGCGGAAGGGGCAACUGGAAUUCCCAGUGUAGCGGUGAAAUGCGUAGAUAUUGGGAGGAACACCAGUGGCGAAGGCGGCUCACUGGACCGGUACUGACGCUGAUGCGCGAAAGCGUGGGGAGCAAACGGG